rnacentral:rRNA from 1 species
UGAACGCUAGCUACAGGCUUAACACAUGCAAGUCGAGGGGCAGCACAGUGUAGCAAUACACGGGUGGCGACCGGCGCACGGGUGCGUAACGCGUAUCCAACCUUCCCGAUACUCUUGGAUAGCCUUCCGAAAGGGAGAUUAAUACAAGAUGGUGUUUCACUUUCGCAUGUUAUUGAAACUAAAGAUUUAUCGGUAUCGGAUGGGGAUGCGUGACAUUAGAUAGUAGGCGGGGUAACGGCCCACCAUGGCGACGAUGUCUAGGGGUUCUGAGAGGAAGGUCCCCCACACUGGAACUGAGACACGGUCCAGACUCCUACGGGAGGCAGCAGUGAGGAAUAUUGGUCAAUGGUCAGACGACUGAACCAGCCAUGCCGCGUGAAGGUGACGGCCCUAUGGGUCUUAAACUUCUUUUGCAAGGGAGCAAUAAGAGCUACGUGUAGCUUGAUGAGAGUACCUUACGAAUAAGCAUCGGCUAACUCCGUG